AUCAGUUCGCGCGAUUUUUCUCUCGUCGUCGAUAUUACCAUUGAUUUUAUAUUAUACUAAAAUCAAUGAUAUUACACUUCCUCCACGGGAUUCCUGUGGUUUUAUUUUGACCAUGGAUUGAUUUUCGUAACGGUAAUCCUCGGUGUUCGAAUCAAAACCAAGGAAAACAAGUGGUCGACGAAUAUAAAAUGUAAAAAUAAACACAUAAGGUUUGCCUGGACUCUCGACGAAACCCAAAACACCAACACCGAAUUACGUUCGUCGUCAACCGUCUCCUAUUAGGCUGCUGUACUUUUUAUCGAUCGUCGUUUAUUCGAGACCGAUUGUUUCGCUGGUAUUACUCGGAAACACGUACACGAGUCGACUUUUGAAAAAUCAUAUUGUUUCGGCACCACUGAAAGCUGUGCUCACGUCGUGACAUAUUUGUACAAUCAUUCCGUUUGGUCGCGUGACGGCCGAUGUUUUUCGUGGUCGAAACUCGAGUGACCGUUCAAUCGUAUUUAAGACGUAUUUGUUCGUAAUUUGCGAUGGUGAACAAUAUUUACAUGGAAUAUGGCAGUGCUGUGUCCCGAUGACAUUAAAACAUACCGUAUGUAAUUGUUACUAUAAUUCCAUAUACUUAUGAGAAUUGGCUUAAUUAGACCUUAAAGUCAGGGAUUUCCAGUCCUAUCAUUUUUAUAGUAAUGGGAAAUUAAGUAUGUGUUCUACCACCCCCCCCCUAUACUCGUUAUUCGUUAUCACCAUUUUAUACAUCAAUGCUACAAAAACAGAAUCUGUACAUUGAUUCU